rnacentral:rRNA from 1 species
UUAACCUACGGGAGGCAGCAGUAGGGAAUCUUCCACAAUGGACGAAAGUCUGAUGGAGCAACGCCGCGUGAGUGAAGAAGGGUUUCGGCUCGGAAAAGUCUGUUGGUAGUGGAGAAAGAUAGAGGGAGUAACUGGCCUUUAUUUGACGGGAAUUACUUAGAAAGUCACGGCUAACUACGUGCCAGCAGCCGCGGUAAUACGUAGGUGGCAAGCGUUUUCCGGAUUUAUUGGGCGGAAAGCGAGUGCAGGCGGGUUAAUAAGACUGGUGGGUAAGCCCUCGGGCGCAACCGGGCAAU